AUGUCGAGCGAUAGCGAGGACGACAGUUCGGCCAGCAGUCUAGCGCCCGAUGAUAGGUCAACAUCAAAAUCAUCCCGCUCAUCUUCCAUGAGUCCGUCGGAGUCGUCAGAAGACAACCAGACGGACAAGGAGCCGUCGGAGGAUGAAGAAGAGGACGACGAUGAUGAUGAGGAGGAAUGGUCGAACGAGGAGGAGGAGGAGGAGGACGACGACAGCAACGACGAUGACAUCGGUGGCGGUGAUGAAAAGCCAACGGUCAGCGGCAAGAAGCGUCCUUGCCAAGAUGAUGUCGCGGGGCCAUCCAACAAGAACAAGAAGAAGAAGAAGAAGGACUAA
rnacentral:rRNA from 1 species